ACUAACAUCUGAGGACAACUGCAACAUGUAAUGUAGGUAAACCUAAUAUUUAAUUGUUUUAAAAUGUCAUUUUAAGCCUGCCUUUCUAAAGUGUUUUACUGUAUUCAUGAUUUUGACUUUAAUGACCCUUCAAGUGUGUCACAGUUAAACUCAAUGAGAGUCUUCUUUUCAGCACGAGCAGCUCUGUGUCUUUCAUUGUAUAUGUUAAUUUACACAAAGUGAAGAUCAUGAACUCCAGACUCUCACCGCUGAUCCUGCUGCUGCUCAUUCCAGGCUUUGUAACAUUGGACCGUCUCUCUGUGACCUGUAGUCAAAAGAGUAUUUGUGCAUUAAGCGGGUCCCAGGCGACACUGAAGUGCUCUUACUCCAGCAACAAAAUCAAAACUGUGUUCUGGUUCAGCGAGAAACAAAGUAAAAACUGGAAAAAAAACAAUGAACCUGAAGAUUUGACUUUAGACUCAGAUUACUCAGGACGGGUGGAGCAGAUGGUCACAAAAGACCAUUCAACACUCACAAUAUCAGACGUGUGAGAGAGAGACUCUGGAGAAUAUCAGCUCAUGUUCAUCAUGAAGGAUGGAGUUAAACAUCUCAGCUCGGCGGCCGUCAGUCUAACAGUCACAGACCUGCAGGUGAGGAUGAAUCCUGCAUCUACAAACCAGACAGAUGAGACAGUAGAACUGAUCUGUGAUUCUUCCUGUGAUUUCACCUCUAAAGUUCACUAUUACUGGAGGAAGAAUGGACAGUAUUUCAAAAAUUCAAAGUCCUCAGAAAUAUCUGUGUCAGUCAGCAGAGAUGCUGGAAGCUUUUCUUGUUCUCUUUAUUCACACCGUGAACAUCCCUCCUCUUC